UAUACAUAUAUAUAUAUAAAUAUAGAUAUAAUUAUAGCUCAGUGCAGCCAGUGAUUUAGAUUUACAGUUUCCUCGGGUCUAGAGCCUUGUUGUCCUCCAUUGCAAUCCAAUUGGGAUUUUUCCAGAUGGUUUCUGAGUUGAGCUGGGGCUGUGGCCUUGAUGCCGUCACGCCCUGAGCAUCACGGAGCAGCCUUGUUUCUGAGGAAUCCGGAAGGUCUUAUACUCAUGUGCAUUGUUGGUUCGAAGAUUUCUUUUAUCUUCCCUGCCCCAUCCUCCUUUUCUGUACCCUGUCUGGAGAGGGCAUUGCUUAUUCAUCACAGACGUGGGAAUGAAGAGAUAAUUCAACACUCGGAAGCACUGUCGGCAUUUCUCUUUCCUUCAUGCAUUUUGCAGAGUGGAAACUGGAGCCCAUUAGACCUGAUAGUACCUAUUUGAGUCCCUAAGGAAAAUCCAGCUCACAACAUAUAUAGCUAGUUUAAAAAAUUUUUUAAACCAGGACACCUCUUUCCAAGGAGUGCCAUCAAAUGUGUUCUUAUCUCAGACUUCUGUUGUUUUAAAAGUUUGGAAAGAUACACAUCUCCUGCAGCCCUCGUGGGAACGGGUGGCCCCCAGAUCACCUCAGCCACCUGUGGCUCUUGUUGCACAAGGAUAUUCACUCCCCUGCAGUUGCAGUGAAUUGCAAGCAAAAGAUCUUGAAAGUAAGAAGCACUAAUUAGUUUAAAAUGUCACUUUUUUGGUUUUUAUUAUACAAAAACCAUGAAGUAAGUUCUUUUUAUUUGCUAAACCAGAUUUUGUUCCUUUUUAGUGAUUCAUGUUUAUGAAGAGAGUUGAGUUUAACAAUCCUAGUUUGUAAAGGAAACUAUUUAAUGUAAAAUAUUCUACUUGUCAUUCAGAUAUUAUGUAUAUCUUCUAUGGCCUUUAUUCUAUACUUUUCAUGUACAUAGUUCUGUCUCGUGUGAUUUGUAUAUUUCACUGGUUCAAAAAAACAAACAGACAUCGAAAGGCUUAUGCCAAAUGGAAGAUAGAAUAUAAAAUAAAACGUUACUUGGAUAUUGGUAAGUGGUUUCAAUCGUCCUUCAGAUACUUCAUGUGGAGAGUUUUUGAGAAAACAUGAGGGAUAGUUUAGGGGUGACUGCAUGUCAGAAUAACAGAAGAGUGGAGAAUUUUACCAAAACCAAACUAUUUGGGAGCUUCAAAAGAUUUCUAUAUGUAACGGAACAAAAGGGGAAUUCUCUUUUCCUAUAUAUGUUCCUCAAAAAAAGAAAUCAAGCAGAUGGCGUAAAGCUGGUUAUAGGAUUGCUCACAUUCUUCGAGCAUUAUGCCUGUAACUUAAUUGUUUUAGAGCUUGUUGGUGUUGUAACAUCUCAGAGCUAAGAACUGAAAAGGCACAUGCUUUUAUCCAUGACCAGGAUUUUCGUCCAAAAAAAAGUGUAUUUGUGUUCACCACUGCAGCUAGCGCGCUGCUCUCGUUCGAAGUUACUGUGUGGAUGGAGUGUCUCUUUGCCCCUUGGAAAGCAGGUUUAUGAAAAGCAAGCCUCAGUCUGCAGAGAAUGAAGGAAACUGAAGGUUCGUUGUGUUAAGUGCAAUUAAUACAAGCCCUGUGCUUCUUGAAAACGCGCAGCGAAGCCUGGCCCGCGACGCACAGAUUGAUACGUUAGCCCUUUGCUUUUUUUCUUUCCGGAUAACCUUGUAACAUGUUGAAACCUUUUAAGGAUGCCAAGAAUGCAUUAUUCCACAAAAAAACAGUAGACCAACAUAUAGAGUGUUUAAAAUAGCAUUUCUGGGCAAAUUCAAACGCUUGUGGUUCUAGGACUCACAUCUGUUUCAGUUUUUCCUCAGUUGUAUAUUGACCAGUGUUCUUUAUUGCAAAAACAUAUACUCGAUUUAGGAGCGUCAGCAUAUUUUUUUUCCUUCUCAUCCUGGAGUGCAUUCAAGAUCUUCCCAAUACAGGAAAAUUAACAAAAAAUUUAUAUACAGGCAGCGACAAACAGAGCUACGUCCAAAAUAGUAAUUAUGGGCUUAAGUACGAGGAAGACCGUUUUAAGCUUUAGUCCAGUGUAUCUGUUCAGUUUCUCAAGCUGCUGACCUCCCGAGACCGGCACUGUGUUUCAGUAGCCCAUGCAAACCCUUUGCUUGUAUGAUUUGCCAAUACAAUUUUCAAUUUGUUUUUGCAAGACAUUGUUCAAGCCACCAGAAGUAUCAAAGAUGACACUGUAGCAGGAUAAGUACUCCAAACAAGAGAGUCACUGGCUGACUCACAGAUUCAUUAGCAGAAACAGUCCCCAAAGACUGAGUGACCCAUCAUUUAAAUAGAAACAGCUAGAAAAGGUACUGAUAACUUGAAGGGUAUAUAUGAUGCAAAUACGCACCAAGACAUAGGUCUAAGAUACUGCAUUAUCACUGUAAAGUGUACUUCUAAAAUAUUUAUUUUUUUAAGAAAGUAUUUGUUAGUCUCCCCUCUCUGUGGAAUGGUGAAAGCCAGAUGCCAUACUUUGAAAGUAAGAUGAUGGAACGCAUUCUUAAUACAGGAAACAUUCAGCAACGUAGGAAUUAAAACUAAGUAAAGGAAUCUUCUAAUUUACCUGUUCGCACAGACCUUACAUUUAACUCUGAUGACUGGAUAAUAUUUUAUGUUAGUAAAACAUCAUCUUGUUAGCCAACUUUAAAAAAUGGAUGUGGAAUGAUUAAAGGUUGCUACGAUUCUUUUUUAAAAACCAAAACUGUAUCAAUUUUAAUCUAGAAGAUUUAAUUAACAUUCUGUCUCAGUAUUUCAAAAGCGAAUAAGGAAAAUUGCAUUUUAGACCAAUUUUACAAGCAGUGUACCAUUUGCUGGGCUAGAAAUAGAUAAAGAUUAUUUAUUUUUGUUCAUAUCUUGUACUACUUUUCUAUUAAAGUCAUUUUAU
rnacentral:lncRNA from 1 species